rnacentral:lncRNA from 1 species
GGUAAGAGCCAUCGUGCGGUGGCUGUAGCCUGGUUCCUUGGCGUGCCCAGCGUGCGGGUGCUCCUUAUUGUCUCUAGCUCCCUUUGCAAAGAUACAGGCCAGGGGAAUUGCAGGAGUCAGUAACGAAACUGCAUCUAUGGGUUGUGGCAAAGUAGGGGAGGAGCUACUGGCAAGGGAAAAAAGGUAAGAUCCUUGUGUAGAGGGAUUUCCUCAAGGCAUUUGCAAGAUCCAGAGCAGGAGUUCUUAACGUGAGUGAUGGACUUUUUUGGGGUGUUUGAAGUCUAUG